rnacentral:lncRNA from 1 species
AUGUUUGUAAUCAACCUUCUUCUACUUAUUAUCCCUGCCAUCCUCACAAUAGCAUUCUUAACAUUGAUUGAAGUAAAAAUUUUAGGUUACAUACAACUUCGUAAAGAUCCCAACAUUGUAGGCCCAUUUGGCCUACUCCAACCCUUUGCAGAUGCAAUUAAACUGUUCAUUAAAGAACCAUUACAACAACUAACAUCAUCUAUUCCCCUUUACAUUAUUGCUCCAACCCUUGUGCUCAUCAUAUAGAUCCGCCUCCCCAUACCUUACCCCUUGGUUAAUGUAAAUAUAGGAGUAUUAUUCAUCUUGGCCACAUCAAGCCUAGUCGUCUACUCAAUCCUAUCAUCAGAAUGAGCAUCCAAUUCAAAAUAUGCCUUGAUCGGCACAUUGCAAGCUGUAGCGCAAACAAUUUUAUACGAAGUUACCCUGGCCAUUACUAUAAGUCCUUUUGCAGAGUAGGUAUUUCACCUGGUCAACUCUUAUUAUUACACUGGAGUUUGUCAUGAUCCCUGUCCAUGACUAAUCUCAACCCUAGCAGAAACCAAUGAAGUCCAUUUGAUUUAACAGAAGGUGAAUGAAAGCUAGUCUCAGGCUUAACAUCGAAUACACUACAGGCCCAUUUCCUGUAUUCUUCAUAGCAGAAUAUACUAAUAUUAUUAUAAUAAACACCCUAACCACUAUCAUUUUUCUAGGAGCAUUACAUGAUAUCUUCAUACCAGAAUUAUAUACAAUUAGUUUCAUUACUAAAACUGUUCUAUUAACAACCCUCUUCCUAUGAAUUCAAGCAUCAUACCUAUGAUUCCAAUAUGACCAACUUAUACAACUCUUAAUGAAAAAGAUUUCUAUCUCUUACACUAGCGUUAUGCGUAUGACACCUUUCAGUGCCCAUCGUAAUAUCUAGUAUCCUGCCACAAACAUAA